CGGGACGGGUGAGUAACGCUGGGUAACCUACCCUGUACACACAGAUAACAUACCGAAAGGUAUGCUAAUACGGGAUAAUAUAUUUGAGAGGCAUCUCUUGAAUAUCAAAGGUGAGCCAGUACAGGAUGGACCCGCGUCUGAUUAGCUAGUUGGUAAGGUAACGGCUUACCAAGGCGACGAUCAGUAGCCGACCUGAGAGGGUGAUCGGCCACAUUGGAACUGAGACACGGUCCAA
rnacentral:rRNA from 1 species